rnacentral:rRNA from 1 species
UAUCCUGGCUCAGAUUGAACGCUGGCGGCAUGCCUAACACAUGCAAGUCGCGCGGACGGUAGCAAUACCGUUAGCGGCGGAACGGGUGAGGGAAUACAUAGGAAUUUGCCUCAGAGCGGGGGAUAGCCCAGGGAAACUUGGAGUAAUACCGCAUGAUGUCGCAAGACCAAAGCUGGGGACCGCAAGGCCUAGCACGUCUGAGAGGAGCCUAUGUCUGAUUAGCUAGUUGGUAGGGUAAUGGCCUACCAAGGCGACGAUCAGUAACUGGUCUGAGAGGACGAUCAGUCACACCGGAACUGAGACACGGUCCGGACUCCUACGGGAGGCAGCAGUGGGAAUAUUGGACAAUGGGCGCAAGCCUGAUCCAGCAAUGCCGCGUGUGUGAAGAAGGCCUUCGGGUUGUAAAGCACUUUAAGCAGGGAAGAAAAAACGCGCUCUAACAUAGUGCGUCUUGACGGUACCUGAAGAAUAAGCACCGGCUAACUCUGUG